rnacentral:rRNA from 1 species
UACGUAGGGUGCGAGCGUUGUCCGGAAUUAUUGGGCGUAAAGGGCUCGUAGGCGGUUUGUCGCGUCGGGAUUGAAAUCAUCUGGCUUAACUGGGUGCUUGCUUUCGAUACGGGCAGACUUGAGUACUGCAGGGGAGACUGGAAUUCCUGGUGUAGCGGUGAAAUGCGCAGAUAUCAGGAGGAACACCAAUGGCGAAGGCGGCUCUCUGGGACGGUACUGACGCUGAGACGCGAAAGCGUGGGGAGCGAACAGG